UCAUGGAACAGCAAUUUUAUAGUAAUUUUGUAUCAGUACUUACAAACCUCAUUUCAGUACACACAAAAUUGAACUGAAUGCCAUCUUAGGGUUUCCAUUUCACACAUGCUGCAACCGGUUGAAUGCUAGACAUUACAUCACUAUGUAAGUUGUUAUUGACUCAGAGAGGUAAAGAAGCCCAGCAGGACAGAGGCUACUGCAAGUGAUUUGCUGAUGUACAAAAAGAAGUUACCAUUCAAAUGAAACAUCCUGAAGUACUUUGCAAUAACCCAAAACUACAGAAUGGAAAUCAGGUCUAAACCACCAGUACUGAAGGAUACUAGAUUGUACACUUCCACAAAGAAUUUCAGCCUAAUGUCAGUUUCCACACAUGAAUACCUGAAAAAUGCCUGCGAGAUGAAGCACCCACAAUGCACUGGGCUGUCAGUACACUCAAGAUGAUGGCAUUAAACAAGAAGUUCACAUAAAACAAUAACAGAAUUUAGAACAAGAUUCGAAAGAAAGAUGACAAUGAUAAAAACAGAUGCGCUGAACUACAAGAAGGUAAACAAUCAUGAAAUGAAAUCCAGUCUCAGAGAUUAACUACUGUGCAACUUCAUAGUUUCAAAUAAAUUGGAGC